rnacentral:tRNA from 1 species
UCCCUCAUAGCUCAGUUGGUAAAGAAUCUGCCUGCAAUGCAGGAGAUCUGGGUUCGAUUCCUGGGUCGGGAA